rnacentral:rRNA from 1 species
UACGUAGGGUGCAAGCGUUAAUCGGAAUUACUGGGCGUAAAGCGUGCGCAGGCGGUUUUGUAAGCCAGAUGUGAAAUCCCCGGGCUUAACCUGGGAAUGGCAUUUGGGACUGUAAGGCUCGAGUGCGGCAGAGGAGACUGGAAUUCCUGGUGUAGCAGUGAAAUGCGUAGAUAUCAGGAGGAACACCGAUGGCGAAGGCAGGUCUCUGGGCUGACACUGACGCUCAUGCACGAAAGCGUGGGGAGCAAACAGG